GACGAACGCUGGCGGCGUGCUUAACACAUGCAAGUCGAACGGAAAGGCCCUGCUUUUGUGGUGUGCUCGAGUUGCGAACGGGUGAGUAACACGUGAGUAACCUGCCCUUGACUUUGGGAUAACUUCAGUAAACUUGGGCUAAUACCGGAUAUUAGCUCCUGCUGCAUGGUGGGGGUUGGAAAGUUUCGGCGGUUGGGGAUGUACUCGCGGCUUAUCAGCUUGUUGGUGGGGUAGUGGCUUACCAAGGCUUUGACGGGUAGCCGGCCUGAGAGGGUGACCGGCGACAUUGGGACUGAGAUACGGCCAAGAAUCAUACGGGAGGCAGCAGUGGGGAAUAUUGCACAAUGGGCGGAAGCCUGAUGCAGCAACGACGCGUGCGGGAUGACGGCCUUCGGGUUGUAAACCGCUUUCGCCUGUGACGAAGCGUGAGUGACGGUAAUGGGUAAAGAAGCACCGGCUAACUACGUG
rnacentral:rRNA from 1 species